rnacentral:lncRNA from 1 species
GAACAAGAGACUGCAGUGUUUGACUUGGGGAUAAGAUAGAAUUUUUUACCAAAUAUGUUUAAAGAUAGAGGCUGAAAGGCAGGAACACAUGGGUCAAUCUGCAGGCAGGCUCUUGGCUGUAUCACUCACCUUGUAAUUCUAUACUUCAGAACUCAGUUUCACACCCAGAAGUGGGACAGAAUUUUAGGAUAGCAGUUCUUGAGGCAAAGGGCAUGAAGACUGCAUUAGAAGAGCAGAGAUGGGGAAAGGGAACACCUACCAUGCCUCUGUCAGUGAUCUGUGCAGUCCCAUGGACCAGUGGCUCUUCCAGACCCAGAUUAAGCAAUAGUUUGGGAACCUGUCGAUUUGCUUCAAUAUACAAUGCAAGUGUAUUCACUCGGCAGCACAGUCCCUCUUUCAUUAUAUGGACGUAGCAGCGUACUUUUCCUUCAUGGAGAGUUUCAUUCAUAUCUCCUCUAUGAUCAUUCCAACAAGAGUUAUCUGGAGCAGGUUUCAGCAAGCUAUUAUCUUCCUUUAUGAAACUAUAAAUGUCUAGAGAUGCUUGUUCUUUCUUCUUUCGGCCCUCUUCUUUGUUGUCCAGUCCGUGCUGCAAUGAUGUAGGAGAAGAGAACUGUUUCCUAACCAGAUGUGGGAUCAGCUCACUCCGGAGAGAUGUGAUUGUCCUGUUUUCUACAAGGAAGUCUACCACAUAUUUCUUCAGACAGUAGAGAUGGGCAUCCAUCAGCCCUGUUCUGAUGUGCAUCCUGGGGUGCUUCUGCAGGAUGGAUCUUUUAAUGACAAGUUCUUCAUCUAGGUCAGCUUCAUUAGCCAUGAAGAGCAAUCUUUUUCCUGUGUCAUCCACUCCAAUGAAGUCCCGCUGCUCCACAGGCUUUUUC